GGCAGGUAGGAAGAGCAGCAGACUUAGCAGCAGACUUGUGCCAGCUUCCACAAACCAGCUGAUGGCCCAUGUGAGCCCAGAAUGGAAAAGACUGUCACAUGUUGGGUGCCUGGCCUGGCCCUCACAUCAGGCGCUUUAGGUGUUUGGUCCACAGAAGGUGUGAUACCUGCCAAAAUAUGAAGAGAUUUGGAAGUAAAGAAGCAACUUGGUCAUAAGUGUCUUGUCUCUUGUCUCUGAAAAAAUAAAAUACCUAUAAAAGUG